rnacentral:rRNA from 1 species
AUAUCAAUAAGCGGAGGAAAAGAAACCAACAGGGAUUGCCUCAGUAACGGCGAGUGAAGCGGCAACAGCUCAAAUUUGAAAUCUGGCUCUUUCAGUGGUCCGAAUUGUAAUUUGUAGAGAUGCUUCGAGCGUGUGGCUCCGGUCUAAGUUCCUUGGAACAGGACGUCAUAGAGGGUGAGAAUCCCGUACGUGACUAGGUUGCCUAUCGCUCAUCGUGAAGCUCCUUUCGACGAGUCGAGUUGUUUGGGAAUGCAGCUCAAAAUGGGUGGUAAAUUUCAUCUAAAGCUAAAUACUUGGCCAGAGACCGAUAGCGCACAAGUAGAGUGAUCGAAAGAUGAAAAGCACUUUGGAAAGAGAGUUAAACAGUAC